AGAAAUUAUCACUUACAUUCAUAAAUCUAGUAUUAAGUCAGGGAAUUAGGAUACAAGCCCACCUCUUUCCGAACUCUAAUUUCCAAAUUUUUAAGCCAUUUCUUAUAAAUGACUUCAAUUAUACCAGUUCUGACCCUCCUCAUUCCUAGACCUUAGGUUUGUUCCUCACCCCGCUUUCCAUAGGCACAGGAGUCGUGCUUUAUGAAUGAGAGAUCCGUUAUAUUUUCAGUUGCUGACUCUGAGUACAGAGUAAACCGGAACUUCUCCCCGACCCCUGUCAUUCAUUCAAGGAACAGAAGAUGUUUUCGAUCAAAUAUUUAUUCUACUAAGUCAACUGAAUUUUUAGAGUACCAAUUUCUUCAGAUUCAAGGUUAGUGUUAAAAAUUUAAUUCUUACACAUAUUUGUCUCUGACAUUUUCAAAUAAGAUUAGAAAUAUAUGUGUAAACAGAUUUUUUGCAGACAUUGACCAACAGUUAUGUGACACAUUUCAACAGAAUAUGAGUUUUCGACAUUCACUUCCACCACGUGUUGAAAAGGCACUCAUAAAUUUAAAAAACAUUGUGAAUUAUUAUUUUGCUAAUAUGUAUCCAAGGAUAAAUUCAUAGUUCUGGAUGAGAAAGGGGAUGAUAUUACUUGUAGAUACAUCUCCUUAAAAAGUCUGAUGAAUUUAAUAGUUUUAUAAUUCAUUUUUGAUAAUUCAGAGGUUCACAUAGCACUGCUAUAUUUUUUUGUCUUCACCAUUGUCUACCUGUUUUACCCACUUCGUUGAUCAGUAAUAUCUUAAAUAUUACACAAGAGGAAAAUUUAAAGCAUGUACAUAGUGAAAGUCAAUGUAAUAAUUCUAAAAUCGUUUUUAUGAAAGUUUGUUGAGAAAAAAUAAGACAAACUGACUUGUAAAGAAAAACAAUAUUAUUAUUUAUAUAUUUAAAUUUCAAAUUCUAUUUUGUUAUUAUAUAGUUAAAAUGAAAUUAAGACACUAAUUCUAUAUUUUAUUCUGCACUAAUUUUCACUCAACUCUCAUAAUGUAACAGCAUAAAAGUGAAACUCAAUAGCUGCUAUUAAUUCUUUUAAUUAGGCAUUAUGGCAUUCUAUGCUUUAAUCCUAUUUGUUUUAUACAGUAAUGUCUUGGACUAAAUCACAUAAAAUGUACUUUUCUGGUUAUCCUCCUCCAAAUAAACACUGAUCCCCUAAUUAGUUAAUUAAAGAAUGAAUUAUGUUAUGGAUUAUUUAUUAAUGAGUCAAAGUUACUUUGGCUAAUUGUGUAAAUACAGGUAAAGUUGGUAAUCUGUCUCAUUUCUCUCAUCUCUAACAUUGGAAACAUGACAGAACCUGCUACUCUUGACUUUGUAAGUAUUCAAUCUGCUAAUCUAGUUAAUGUGUAUCCACAGUAACCAGGUAAUACAUAGUAGGUGUGGUUAUAAGGUAACUAUUGUCAUAGCAAAUGUAUGAACAUAAGACUGCUAUCUCUGGCAUGUCUCUGUAAUGAUCCAUUACUGAGAGUCCACCUAGUUUAUUUCACCAGAGACAAAAGUACGUAUACUUUUUAAAAUAUUCUGAAACAUACUGUUUUUGUUUUCUUUCCUGCAACUUACCCUGGUAUUAAUUUAUUCUGAGCCAUAAUUAUGCAACCUUAACUUGACUAUAAUUAAUAGCAAUAAUGUCUAGAUUUUGGCAGCAACUGAGGGUUUAUUCUCCAAAAUCAAUUUGCAGAACAUAUUUAUUCCUUCAGUUUGCAUAGAUGAUAGCCCAAACAUGAAGUUUCUCUCAGCUAGUAAUUUAGCACAGGCAGGAAGAAGCAAAUAGAUAUCAUGGUUUGAAUGCCAUAAUAUUAUUUGUUCCUUCUCAAUUAUGUUUCUGCAACAGAAAGAUUUUUUAACAAAUUACAUAAAUAGAACUUUAAAAAGUUUGAAACAUCUGUAUUUUCACCUGAACAGAAGAUAGUUGCACUCCUGCUGAAGGUGUGGUUUUUAAAAACUAUUUGUAAUUAUGUAAUAAAUAUGGGACAUUCAUCAUACUCUUUGAAUGUAAAAUUAGAUGUCUGUGUUAGGCAUGUUGAUCAAGCACCAUUUAGUGUAUCAUGAGAUUUACAGGAAAAUUCAUGGAAAAACUGAGAAGCCUUUAAGUCAGAGACAUGAUGAUAUGUUCAGUAUAUUAAAUAAGUACUGAAUUAAGGAAUAAAACCAGGUGAGCUAAGUGAAUGACAGCUACCCCAAAUACAGUUAAUUUUUCCACUUGCAUUUCUUGCAAAGUUAUUAAUUUAUUCAUUCACUUAUAAAACAUUUACUCAACUUUUGUUGGGAGCUAGGCCUAGACUAGGAACAACAACAACAACAAGAAAAGAGAAUAGUGAAAAAAAUAACAUCUUUCUGGGGAGUUUUAAAAGCAGCAGAUAAGAGAGAAAAUGAAUAAGAACACAAAGUCCUAUGAGAACCUGAGGGUGCCAUGGGAGGAUUUAAGGAGUAGAGUCUGCUUAAAUAGCAAUAGAAUCUGUGGGAUUAGGAGCAGGCCCUAGUUUUUCUGAAACUCACUUUGUUAGUCUGAAUGAGCUGACCAUUUGCAG
ensembl:lncRNA